rnacentral:rRNA from 1 species
AGAGUUUGAUCAUGGCUCAGAUUGAACGCUGGCGGCAGGCCUAACACAUGCAAGUCGAGCGCGAAAGUACUUCGGUAUGAGUAGAGCGGCGGACGGGUGAGUAACGCGUAGGAAUCUACCCAGUAGUGGGGGACAACUUGGGGAAACCCAAGCUAAUACCGCAUACGCCCUAUGGGGGAAAGCGGGGGAUCUCUUCGGAGACCUCGUGCUAUUGGAUGAGCCUGCGUUGGAUUAGCUAGUUGGUGGGGUAAAGGCCCACCAAGGCGACGAUCCAUAGCUGGUCUGAGAGGAUGAUCAGCCACACUGGGACUGAGACACGGCCCAGACUCCUACGGGAGGCAGCAGUGGGGAAUAUUGCGCAAUGGGGGCAACCCUGACGCAGCCAUGCCGCGUGUGUGAAGAAGGCCUUCGGGUUGUAAAGCACUUUCACUUGGGAAGAAAAGUUUGGUGUUAAUAGCGCCAAGCCGUGACAUUACCUUGAGAAGAAGGACCGGCUAACUCCGUGCCAGCAGCCGCGGUAAUACGGAGGGUCCGAGCGUUAAUCGGAAUUACUGGGCGUAAAGCGCGCGUAGGUGGUUUGUUAAGUCGGAUGUGAAAUCCCCGGGCUCAACCUGGGAAUUGCCUUCGAUACUGGCCGACUGGAGUGCGAGAGAGGGAGGUAGAAUUCCACGUGUAGCGGUGAAAUGCGGAGAUAUGUGGAGGAAUACCGGUGGCGAAGGCGGCCUCCUGGCUCGACACUGACGC